rnacentral:rRNA from 1 species
CAGCAGCCGCGGUAAUACGUAGGGUGCGAGCGUUGUCCGGAAUUAUUGGGCGUAAAGAGCUUGUAGGCGGUCUGUCGCGUCUGCUGUGAAAAUCCGAGGCUCAACCUCGGGCCUGCAGUGGGUACGGGCAGACUAGAGUGCGGUAGGGGAGAACGGAACUCCUGGUGUAGCUGUGGAAUGCGCAGAUAUCAGGAAGAACACCGAUGGCGAAGGCAGUUCUCUGGGCCGUAACUGACGCUGAGAAGCGAAAGCGUGGGGAGCGAACAGGAUUAGAGACCCCGGUAGUCCCUGUUUCUUAUAC